UACGAAGGGGGCUAGCGUUGUUCGGAUUUACUGGGCGUAAAGCGCACGUAGGCGGGUCGUUAAGUCAGGGGUGAAAUCCCGGAGCUCAACUCCGGAACUGCCUUUGAUACUGGCGACCUUGAGGCUGGAAGAGGUUAGUGGAAUUCCCAGUGUAGAGGUGAAAUUCGUAGAUAUUGGGAAGAACACCAGUGGCGAAGGCGGCUAACUGGUCCAGACUCUGACGCUGAGGUGCGAAAGCGUGGGAGCAAACAGGG
rnacentral:rRNA from 1 species